rnacentral:tRNA from 1 species
UGUGGUAUGGUUCAAGUGGAGAGUACCUGCCUUGUAAGCAUGAGACUCUGAGUUCAAUCUCCAGUACUAUAC